UGUAGGUGUAGUUGUAGUUGUGGGUGUAGUUGUAGGUAAAGUUGUAGGUAUGGGUGUCGACGUAGGUGUAGUUGUAGGUGAGAGUUGCAGGUGUUGUUGUAGGUGUAGUUGUAGGUGAAGUUGUAUGUGUAAUUGUAGGUGUAGGUGCAUUUGUAGGUGUAUGUGUAGUUGUAGAUGUAAGUGAAGGUGUAGUUGUAGGUGUGGUUGUAAGCGAAGGUGUAGGUGUAGUUGUAGGUGUAGUUGUAUGUUUAGGUGUAGGUGUAGUUGUAUGUUUAGGUGUAGGCGUAGUUGUGGGUGUAGUUGUAGUUGUACGUGUAGGUGUAGUUGUAAGCGAAGGUGCAGUUGUAGGUGUAGGCGUAGAUGUAGUUGUAGGCGUAGUGUAGGAUUAGGCGUAGUUGUAGGUGUAGGCAUAGUUGUAGUUGUAAGUGUAGAUGCAGUUGUAGGUUUAGUUAUAGGAAUAGGUGUAGUUGUAAGCGAAGGUGUAGUUUGUAGGUGUAGUUGUAGGUGUAGAUGUAGUUGUAGGUGUAGUUGUAUGUUUAGGUGUAGGCGUAGUUGUAGGUGUAGUUGUAGAUGUACGUGUAGGUGUAGUUGUAAGCGAAGGUGUAGGUGCAUUUGUAGGUGUAUGUGUAUAUGUAGAUGUAAGUGAAGGUGUAGUUGUAGGUGUAGUUGUUGGUGUUGGUGUGGGUGUAGGUGUAGUUGUAGGUGUAGUAGUAGGCGUAGUUGUAGAUGUAGUUGUAGGUGUCGGUGUAGUUGUAGGUGUAGUUGUAGGCACAGUUGUAGUUGUAGUUGUAGUCGUAGGCAUAGGUUUUGGUGUAGGUUUAGGUGUAGUUGUAGGUGUAGUUGUAUGUUUAGGUGUAGGCGUAGUUGUAGGUGUAGUUGUACGUGUAGGUGUAGUUGUAAGCGAAGGUGUAGGUGUAGUUGUAGGUGUAGAUGUAGUUGUAGGUGUAGUUGUAUGUUUAGGUGUAGGCGUAGUUGUGGGUGUAGUUGUAGUUGUACGUGUAGGUAUAGUUGUAAGCGAAGGUGCAGUUGUAGGUGUAGGCGUAGAUGUAGUUGUAGUUGUAGGUGUAGGUGUAGAUGUAGUUGUAGGUGUAGUUGUAUGUUUAGGUGUAGGCGUAGUUGUAGGUGUAGUUGUAGAUGUACGUGUAGAUGUAGUUGUAAGCAAAGGUGUAGAUGUAGUUGUAG
rnacentral:lncRNA from 1 species